rnacentral:rRNA from 1 species
GCCAGACUCCUACGGGAGGCAGCAGUGGGGGAUAUUGCACAAUGGGGGGAACCCUGAUGCAGCGACGCCGCGUGGGUGAAGGAGCGUUUCGGCGCGUAAAGCCCUAUCGGCAGGGAAGAAGGAGGACGGUACCUGACUAAGAAGCCCCGGCUAACUACGUGCCAGCAGCCGCGGUAAUACGUAGGGGGCGAGCGUUAUCCGGAUUCACUGGGUGUAAAGGGAGCGUAGACGGCCAAGCAAGCCAGGGGUGAAAGCCCGGGGCCCAACCCCGGGACUGCCCUUGGAACUGCAUGGCUGGAGUGCGGGAGGGGCAGGCGGAAUUCCUGGUGUAGCGGUGAAAUGCGUAGAUAUUAGGAGGAACACCAGUGGCGAAGGCGGCCUGCUGGACGGUAACUGACGCUGAGGCUCGAAAGCGUGGGGAGCAAACAGGAUUAGAUACCCGCGUAA